CAGCAGCCGCGGGAAUACGAAGGGGGCUAGCGUUGCUCGGAAUGACUGGGCGUAAAGGGCGCGUAGGCGGAUUGUUUAGUUAGGCGUGAAAUUCCUGGGCUUAACCUGGGGACUGCGCUUAAUACAGGCAGUCUAGAGUGAGGAAGAGGGUUGUGGAAUUCCCAGUGUAGAGGUGAAAUUCGUAGAUAUUGGGAAGAACACCGGUGGCGAAGGCGGCAACCUGGUCCUUGACUGACGCUGAGGCGCGAAAGCGUGGGGAGCAAACAGGAUUAGAUACCCGCGUAGUCCCUGUCUCUUAUAA
rnacentral:rRNA from 1 species